rnacentral:lncRNA from 1 species
GGAAGAUGUGGUUGCACUGUUUGCGGAUGUAGGCCCGGAGACCCAGGAACUUGCCAUAGACCCGGUGCAGGAUGGUCUUGAGACAGGGUCUCGCUCUGUUGCCCAAGCUGGAGCGCAGUGGUACAAUCUCGACUCACUGCAACCUCAACCUCCCAGGCAGGCUCAAGCGAUCCUCCCACCUCAGCCUUCUGAGUAGCUGGACUACAGUAGCACACCACUAUGCCC